CCCGCCCUGGGGCUCGACAGAGCCAUCCACCAGCUGCACCACCAGGGUGGCGGUGGAGGACAGGGGAGGUUGCCCGUGAUCGCGCACCUCGAUCACCAGCUCGUAAGGCCGCUGGGGGUCGCGCUUGGCCGGCACCCGGCGCGCCGUGCGGAGCUCCCCGGUGCGCCAAUCCAUGCGGAAGAGGUUCAUUUCGUUACCCCGCACAAUGCUGUAGGUGAGCCGGGCGUUCUCGCCGUCGUCCGCGUCCACCGCGGCUACGCGGGUCAGCAGGUAACCGGGCUCCGCCGAGCGGGGCAGCACCUCGCGCGCCGGAGUCCCGUUGCGCCCCGGAAGGGGCGCCACUAUGGCAGGGGCGUUGUCGUUCUGAUCCACGAUGAGGAUGUUGACAGUGGCGUUGCCAGCCAGCGCCUGGGGGCUGCCGGCGUCCCGGGCUUCCACCUGGAAGCUGAAGUCCUUGAGCUGCUCGUGGUCGAAGGAGCGCAGGGCGUACAAGUAGCCGUUCUCGGAGUUGAUGGAUACUCUUGGCGCAACGCGGUGCUGGCAAAGCCCAAGGAGGAAAUUUUGAUAUUUCAAGACUGUCCUCGGUUUGUCUUCUUGCUGAUGGGAGGAGAAGAAUGAGGUGGAAGAGGAAGAGGAAGAGGAGAUGCUGUUGGCACCGCUGAACAUGCCUCUUAACGUCAACGGCUGGCAAAUGCAGAAGAGCUUAAAAACGGCGAGAGAAUUUUGUGCCGAAAAAGCAAAGAACGGUUCUGCAGCAUAAAACUUUCAUUCUCUUCAUUUCUCCGGAUGGAUGUGCUUCUUGGCCUUUUUUCCUCUUUCGCUCUAUUUGUAGUUUUUGGCUUUCAUAGUCUUACUCUCUGUCCUCAUCUCCACUGUCGUUUGCCUCUCUGGAAGUGUGAAGAGCAGUUUCUUUCUUGCUGUUUCCUUCCCAAGCCUCUUCUUCCCUCUAACCUAUCUCUCUUCUUUCCAGUCCUUCCCUCCUCCUGCCUCAGCCCCAGAGCCUGCGAUCUCGGCUGGCAGUUUCUGAGCUCCGAGCGCUCCGCUUCCCUGUUUUUGCGCAGCGCCCUCAUUCUGCCAACCAAUCGCUGAGAAGCACCACCCACCGAGCCACCGCUAAUUGGCCAACCUGACCGUCAAGCAGGCGCGUCACGCAAGCAACCGGGCCGGGCGGGAUGCAGCCCGCGCCCGGGCUGCCGGGGUGAGUGUGAGUGUGAGCGCGACCACAGCCCGGCAGGUCCCGAGGCGCUAGCUGGGACUCUGCCACGGAAAGUUCCCAGUCCCCGGCCGCAGGAUGGGAAGGUCCCUUGGGGCUUCCUGGUAAUGAAUGACCUGAGAGCAACACCGCCACAACCUGCGGGAAAAGGAGAGUCGUUUCCCCGACCCCGAGAUCUGAAGGAUUGAAAUGACACGUUUUGAGGUCUUCAAGCUGACCCAUCAGAAUCCUGGAGCAUUUUUUAAAUGACGGUAAUUUUCUAAUAUUUCAUUUGUACAUACGGAAACACUUGUGUGUGUGCCUGUGUGCGUGCGUGUUUGCGUGUGAGAGACAUGCGGCUGAAUGACAAUACAGAUCCGGAAAUUGUUUGCGGGAGACGGUUUGUGCUCUCAAGAUGUAGAUGAAGUUUGAGCCGACUUUGGACGUUCGCUGAGAGCCAGAGUGCUUCCCGAGGUGGAGAUGAGAACGUGGAGAGAUGGCCAGAUUUGCCUGUAAAUAAUCACUACAUCCACUGUUAACGCUUGAGCUGCAUUUUUUUUUCUUUUUGGUAGCAGUUGUGUUUGAAAGGGGAACUCUCGCCGCAAACGUGGGUUACAGGCGUCUCCUAGCGGCGAAAGCAACACAGGGCAUGCCGGAGAAUUUCGCUUUGGAGCUCUCAUUCGACAGGGCUGGCCUGUUGGGGGCUCUUUAGGAUUUCUUGGGCCACAGAGGCCUGCAUUCACGCCGGCGACGCCGUCUGGGGUCCUGUAGAGGUCUCGCCUCUGACUUCUAGUCUCCGAGGCGCCGUGGUAUCGGCGAGGUGACGACGGAGCCUUCCGCCUGGGAGAGCAGACGCGAGCCUGGCCGUCCGCCUCCGUCUGGGUAGCUCCGGCCAAGGGCAAUUGCAAGAGUAUUUUGUCCCGGGCCAAGAUUCAGACGUUGGCAUCAGCACCCUUACUGCCUUACUUGCCUCCUUACUCUGGAACCUUAAACAGACUCCCCUCGCCCCGUCACCCACGAAACAAAACCACACUUUAAAUCUGCCUUUUAAAAAUGCUUUUGAAAUGAAACCCGUGUACUUUUUUCCUUGCUGUGUCAAUCCAGCAGAUUUCCGCCCCCCCU